rnacentral:rRNA from 1 species
UACGUAGGGUGCAAGCGUUAAUCGGAAUUACUGGGCGUAAAGCGUGCGCAGGCGGUGAUGUAAGACAGAUGUGAAAUCCCCGGGCUCAACCUGGGAACUGCAUUUGUGACUGCAUCGCUGGAGUGCGGCAGAGGGGGAUGGAAUUCCGCGUGUAGCAGUGAAAUGCGUAGAUAUGCGGAGGAACACCGAUGGCGAAGGCAGGUCUCUGGGCUGACACUGACGCUCAUGCACGAAAGCGUGGGGAGCAAACAGG